GAUUCCUUCGAGCGAUGAUUUUCUGGUAAUGUUUCUGCGAGCCCGAAAAUACAGAAUACAAGAGGUCUCCCAAAUGGUGAAAAACUACUUCCGCACGCAGCGAGAUGCACCGGAAUUCUUCCAUGAACUUGUCCCUGAGAAAAUUCCAUUCAGAACAAUUUGCCACGACCACAAACUCCUCGCGAUAUCGCCGGAACCAGGCGAGAAUGGCAGGUGCAUGGGUGUCUUCAAAAUAGGUGCCUGGAACCCUGACAUCUGCAGCCUUUCAGACUAUACCAGAGCUGGACUUCUGUUGGCCGGCUGCUGGCUCCUUGAAGAUUUUCCGUCAAUAUGUGGCGUUGAGUGCGUCAUGGAUAUGAAUGGAUUCAACAGACGUCAUCUGACGCAGCUACCACCAUCCUACCUGAUGAGAUUGGCUAGCAUUAUGCAGGACUGCUUGCCCGUACGGAUAAAGGCUGUCUACAUAGUAAACCACCCGAAGAUUUUUGAAGUCAUCUUUGCAGCAAUCAAGCCGCUCCUGCGCAGCAAGCUCCUAAGCAGAGUCCACUUCGUUGGCGGCGAAGCUUCUGAGUUUUGGGACCGCUUUCCAGGCGACCUCGUACCAAUGGAACUCGGCGGGAGGUGCGAGCACUUCGAUUACGAUCGUCAAGAGAAGUUGGUGCACAGCAGAAGCGGUUUCUUCGAAUGCUUGUGCGCUUGCGGAUACAAAAAAGAAUAAGACCUGAUAAGAGAUUGAUAAUUCGGUACCAGACAUUCCACGGGGCUGCAGUCAUCAUUAUAAAUAUCAGUCAACUAACCCGCAAGGCUGUAGGCUCUGGCCAAAAAUCUGUUCACAGAAAACUGCGACAGUGUGCCUUCGUCUUUUGCAGUAACUAAGAAUAUCGUA